rnacentral:rRNA from 1 species
GCGAACAGGAUUAGAUACCCUGGUAGUCCAUGCCGUAAACGUUGGGCACUAGGUGUGGGGACCAUUCCACGGUUUCCGCGCCGCAGCUAACGCAUUAAGUGCCCCGCCUGGGGAGUACGGCCGCAAGGCUAAAACUCAAAGGAAUUGACGGGGGCCCGCACAAGCGGCGGAGCAUGCGGAUUAAUUCGAUGCAACGCGAAGAACCUUACCAAGGCUUGACAUGUUCCCGAUCGCCGUAGAGAUACGGUUUCCCCUUUGGGGCGGGUUCACAGGUGGUGCAUGGUUGUCGUCAGCUCGUGUCGUGAGAUGUUGGGUUAAGUCCCGCAACGAGCGCAACCCUCGUUCCAUGUUGCCAGCACGUAAUGGUGGGGACUCAUGGGAGACUGCCGGGGUCAACUCGGAGGAAGGUGAGGACGACGUCAAAUCAUCAUGCCCCUUAUGUCUUGGGCUUCACGCAUGCUACAAUGGCCGGUACAAUGGGUUGCGAUACUGUGAGGUGGAGCUAAUCCCAAAAAGCCGGUCUCAGUUCGGAUUGGGGUCUGCAACUCGACCCCAUGAAGUCGGAGUCGCUAGUAAUCGCAGAUCAGCAACGCUGCGGUGAAUACGUUCCCGGGCCUUGUACACACCGCCUCGUCAAGUCACGAAAGUUGGUAACACCCGAAGCCGG